GCCGGUUUGGCUCAGUGGAUAGAGUGUCAGCCUGCAGACUGAAGGGUUCCAGGUUCGAUUCCUGGUCAGGGCA
rnacentral:tRNA from 1 species